rnacentral:rRNA from 1 species
GUGAGGAAUAUUGGGCAAUGGACGCAAGUCUGACCCAGCCAUGCCGCGUGAAGGAUGAAUGCCCUAUGGGUUGUAAACUUCUUUUGUACGGGAAGAACAGUUUCUACGUGUAGAGAUUUGACGGUACCGUAUGAAUAAGCAUCGGCUAACUCCGUGCCAGCAGCCGCGGUAAUACGGAGGAUGCAAGCGUUAUCCGGAUUUAUUGGGUUUAAAGGGUGCGUAGGCGGAAUAUUAAGUCAGUGGUGAAAUCCUGCAGCUUAACUGUAGAACUGCCAUUGAUACUGAUGUUCUUGAAUGCAGUUGAGGUAGGCGGAAUGUGUAAUGUAGCGGUGAAAUGCUUAGAUAUUACACAGAACACCGAUUGCGAAGGCAGCUUACUAAACUGUGAUUGACGCUGAGGCACGAAAGCGUGGGUAGCAAACAGGAUUAGAAACCCCGGUAGUCC